UAUGGAGGAUGCGAGCGUUAUCCGGAUUUAUUGGGUUUAAAGGGUGCGUAGGCGGGCUUUUAAGUCAGCGGUAAAAAUUCGGGGCUCAACCCCGUCCGGCCGUUGAAACUGGGGGCCUUGAGUGGGCGAGAAGAAGGCGGAAUGCGUAGUGUAGCGGUGAAAUGCAUAGAUAUCACGCAGAACCCCGAUUGCGAAGGCAGCCUUCCGGCGCCCUACUGACGCUGAGGCACGAAAGUGCGGGGAUCGAACAGG
rnacentral:rRNA from 1 species